CUGACCUCAAAUGAUCCACCCGCCUCGGCCUCCCAAAAUGCUGGGAUUACAGGCAUGAGUCACCAUGCCUGGCCCUUGUUAAACUUUCUACCUAGCAAUGUAGUUAGUCUUCCCAUCCCACUGUAUAGGAGUUUCAGGAUGAAACUGUUUCAGCCUCUCUAACUUGGAGUGCUGAACAGGAAGUAAGAGUUGGCUUUACGGUAGGCAGCUGCCAGGCUAGCAUAAAUUGUGGCAUACCAGAAAAUCCCUUUGAUCUUCCUAAAUGCUUGUCUUACUUUGUGCCAAAUGACUAGUGAUUUAAAGCAGUGGUUCUCAACCCUGACUGUAUAUCAGAAACACCCAGAGAACUUUUAAAAAUUAUCUAGAGAAACUGCCUCACCUGACAUUUUGAUUCAGUAGCCGCAGGUGUAGUUUAAAAAGCUCCACAGGGGAGCUCUUUCCUUUCACUGCUGUGGCCGCAGCCAUGAGUGUGCUCAGGCUUCAGAGGAGGCUUGCCUCCAGUGUUCUCCACUGUGGCAAGAAGAAUAUCUGGUUAGACCCCAAUGAGACCAAUGAAAUCACCAAUGCCAACUCCCGUCAGCAGAUCCGGAAGCUGAUCAAAGAUGGGCUGAUCAUCUGCAAGCCUGUGAUGGUCCAUUCCCCCGCUUGAUGCCGGAAAAACACCUUGGCCUGCCAGAAGGGCAGGCAUAUGGGCAUAGGUAAGCGGAAGGGUACAGCCAAUGCCCGAAUGCCAGAGAAGUUCAUAUGGAUGAGGAGAAUGAGGAUUCUGCACCGGCUGCUCAGAAGAUACCAUGAAUCUAAGAAGAUUGAUCGCCACAUGUAUCACAGCAUGUACCUGAAGGUGAAGGGGAAUGUGUUAAAAAACAAGCAGAUUCUCAUGGAACACAUCCACAAGCUGAAGGCAGACAAGGCCCGCAAGAAGCUCCUGGCUGAUCAGGCUGAGGCCCGCAGGUCUAAGACCAAGGAAGCACCCAAGAGCUGUGAAGAGCACCUCCAGGCCAAGAAGGAGGAGAUCAUCAAGACUUUGUCCAAGGAGGAAGAGAUCAAGAAAUAAAAGCUGCCCCUUUGUCUGUACAUACUGGCCUCUGUGAUUACAUAGAUCAGCCAUUAAAGUAAAACAAGCCUUUAUCUGC